rnacentral:lncRNA from 10 species
CAGUUCUCAAAGGUUGUUGAGAGUGCAGGGUUCUAGCCUCACUUCUCAGGGAUUGCUUGUUGGUGGUUUAGUGCUGUAAAACAACAAACAAAACAAAUCAAAACCCACCAGAAACACCAGGAGAAGUCUUGCACAGCAGAGGAACACGUUUACUUGUCAGUUCAUGGUUUCAGUCUCCAGCCCCACAGCGUUGUACAUGGUGGAGGUGGCAGUGGUGGUGGGGUUGGGUAGUGCCCACAGUGCCUCACUCUGGGGGAGGGCAGGGAGGUGGGCAAGCAUGUGGGCAGGAUGAAGGGCAUUUAGGAGGACAGGGCUUGGGGCAGGGCAGGCACUUGGGUGGUGCUGGACACUUUUCCCAUGGGCACUUUUCGAAACAGCGUUGCAGCAGCUUCUUUAAACAGCUGGGCUGGCAUUUGG